rnacentral:rRNA from 1 species
UACGUAGGGGGCUAGCGUUGUCCGGAAUCAUUGGGCGUAAAGAGCGUGUAGGCGGCCCGGUAAGUCCGCUGUAAAAGUCAAAGGCUCAACCUUUGGAUGUCAGUGGAUACUGCCGGGCUAGAGUCCGGAAGAGGCGAGUGGAACUCCUGGUGUAGCGGUGGAAUGCGCAGAUAUCAGGAAGAACACCAACGGCGAAGGCAGCUCGCUGGGACGGUACUGACGCUGAGACGCGAAAGCGUGGGGAGCGAACAGG